rnacentral:rRNA from 1 species
GACGAACGCUGGCGGCGUGCUUAACACAUGCAAGUCGAACGGAAAGGCCCUGCUUUUGUGGGGUGCUCGAGUGGCGAACGGGUGAGUAACACGUGAGUAACCUGCCCUUGACUUUGGGAUAACUUCAGGAAACUGGGGCUAAUACCGGAUAGGAGCUCCUGCUGCAUGGUGGGGGUUGGAAAGUUUCGGCGGUUGGGGAUGGACUCGCGGCUUAUCAGCUUGUUGGUGGGGUAGUGGCUUACCAAGGCUUUGACGGGUAGCCGGCCUGAGAGGGUGACCGGCCACAUUGAGACUGAGAUACGGCCCAGACUCCUACGGGAGGCAGAAGUGGGGAAUAUUGCACAAUGGGCGGAAGCCUGAUGCAGCAACGCCGCGUGCGGGAUGACGGCCUUCGGGUUGUAAACCGCUUUCGCCUGUGACGAAGCGUGAGUGACGGUAAUGGGUAAAGAAGCACCGGCUAACUACGUG